rnacentral:piRNA from 1 species
AGUGAUUUAUUGCUUCUUUAGC